rnacentral:rRNA from 1 species
GCGUGCAGGACGAAGGCCUUCGGGUUGUAAACUGCUUUUGUACGGAGCGAAAAGCUUUGGGCUAAUACCCUGAAGUCAUGACGGUACCGUAAGAAUAAGCACCGGCUAACUACGUGCCAGCAGCCGCGGUAAUACGUAGGGUGCAAGCGUUAAUCGGAAUUACUGGGCGUAAAGCGUGCGCAGGCGGUUUUGUAAGACAGAGGUGAAAUCCCCGGGCUCAACCUGGGAACUGCCUUUGUGACUGCAAAGCUUGAGUGCGGCAGAGGGGGAUGGAAUUCCGCGUGUAGCAGUGAAAUGCGU